CUGUCUCAGGCUGCCCCUAAAAAGAUGAAGUAGUAGUCUGGCAAGAUGAACUCAAGACACAAAGAAGACAUUCGAGACUGAUCUGCGAGGUGUUCAGAUUCAUUGAUAACAUGCAAACCAGAGUCUGCUUACCGUUGUCUGUUCCAGAUACGAUGUCAAAGCAAACGAGGGAGACUUAGAAGCAGUGUGACUUAAAAAAGAAGUACUUUGAAAGAUGACUUACUGGGGAACUGAGUUAGAAGAUGAAAGAAGUGAAGAUUGGUCAUCUGUGCAGA